ACUGAAAUUAUUAUCUAUGGGAAACAUAAAACUAAAGUUUAGGUAAGAGAAAGAAAUGAUAUAAAGUUUGAGCUACUGUUUAUCUUGUUCCUACUACACUAAGUUCUGGAGAUUUAUUUUGAAAACUUGCAAAUCAUACGAUGAGUUCCUAGCAUUACAAACUUCCUACCACAGCCAUACUUGCUUUAACAUCUUUUACUUAUAUUCACAUUGAGUUUGAUCGAGCUGUGUAGAUCCUUAAGAGCUUUGCAUGUGGUUAAAUUAAGAUAUUCACUUGCACACAUCUACUACACCAUCCAUCACCACUCAUUAAAAUUACUAAAAAUAUUAUCACUCACUAUCCCAAAUAUUGUUAUUCUCUCUCUCUAAAAAGAUUCACUGCAGAAGAGGCAUGGGUUAUGCAAAAAUAUGCGAGGAAAUAAAAAGGGGCAAGUGCCUGGAACCUCGAAAAAGAAAGAAAAAAAGAGUGAGACGAGAGGUAAAAAUGGACAAGUGUUCAGAGUAGAAUUAGGGGUACAAAGAUACCCACUUGAGCGGAAAAAAUGGACAAGUGUCCGAUAGUAGAAUUAGGGGUAUCUACUACCCACCUGAAAAAAAAGGAGAGAUAGCCCAUGUUCUUCCAAAGCAAAGAUCAAAGAAGAGGAGAGGUAGCAAUAUGAGGAGCAAUGAGAAGUAAGUUUUAUUAUCACUUAUACAUUUUUUUACCAUCACUAUCAUUUACUCCACCACACAUGCACAUCUUGAUUUAAUUAUAUGCUGAGUUCCUUUGGAUCCAUGGCUCGAUUAGACAACAUAUGUAUGAGCUGUUUUUCACUCCUAUGAGCUCCACUUAAAUAUUCCAUUAGCUAUAGGUAAGUGACAUUUUGGUAUGGAUCCACAAAUACCACAUAUAGAGAGACUUGAGAGAAUCAUUGCUGGGAACUCUGAGUUUUAUUUUUAACUUAUGCAAAACUCUGGAACAAAGGUGAAGUUUAGACAGGAGGAAUAGUGCUUGACUUAAUUAUUUUGUCUUUCAAUUACUUAAGACUUAGGUGCAGAUACUAAGCUCCAUGACACUUCACUCUAAUCUGGAAAAUUUUUUUAUGUAAAAGCAUG
rnacentral:lncRNA from 1 species